rnacentral:lncRNA from 1 species
UACGUUGCAGGUGUAGGUCUUCGUGCCCAAGCUGCUGGAGGGCACGGUCACCACGCUGCUGAGGGAGUAGAGUCCUGAGGACUGUAGGACAGCCGGGAAGGUGUGCACGCCGCUGGUCAGGGCGCCUGAGUUCCACGACACCGUCACCGGUUCGGGGAAGUAGUCCUUGACCAGGCAGCCCAGGGCGGCUGUGCUCCUGGAGCAGGGCGCCA